CACAAGCGGUGGAUGAUGUGGAUUAAUUUCGAUGCAACGCGAAAAACCUUACCUACCCUUGACAUGUCCGGAAUCCCGAAGAGAUUUGGGAGUGCUCGCAAGAGAACCUGCACACAGGUGCUGCAUGGCUGUCGUCAGCUCGUGUCGUGAGAUGUUGGGUUAAGUCCCGCAACGAGCGCAACCCUUGCCAUUAGUUGCUACGAAAGGGCACUCUAAUGGGACUGCCGGUGACAAACCGGAGGAAGGUGGGGAUGACGUCAAGUCCUCAUGGCCCUUAUAGGUGGGGCUACACACGUCAUACAAUGGCCGGUACAGAGGGUAGCCAACCCGCGAGGGGGAGCCAAUCCCACAAAGCCGGUCGUAGUCCGGAUCGCAGUCUGCAACUCGACUGCGUGAAGUCGGAAUCGCUAGUAAUCGCGGAUCAGCAUGUCGCGGUGAAUACGUUCCCGGGUCUU
rnacentral:rRNA from 1 species